rnacentral:lncRNA from 1 species
CACCCUUUGAAGAGGGUGACACCAAUUAAAACACUCUUUGUGGGACAUUAGCUAGUCCAAGGUUUGCACCUAAAUUCCCCUCACCAACACUGCUGUCCAGACUGCGGACUGCCAGAAUGUCCCUGUGUCUGUGACCUGACGCUACUGGGGUUGAACUUGGGGUUGUGGAUUGGCCUUGGCUGUCACAGCUUCCUCGGAAAAUGAGGCUUAAACUGGCACAUGCUCAUCAGAGGUGUGAGGAAAACUCUGAGCUAAUGUGCACACUGCUCAGAACAGACCCAGAGCUGUUUGGAGCGUGGCAUUAACCAAAGUUCACAAACAGGGCUUCUCAGAGAUGACAUAAUUUGGUUCUCACUGGUCCAGAGGCCAGGAGGCCCAAGAGCAAGGCAGUGGCAGAUUCUGUAAUCUGGUCAUAGAUGGCACCUUCUUUAUGUAUCUCCCUGAUUGAAGGACCAGGACUCCAUGGGGCUCCUGAGUAAGGGCUCUUUCCUUAUGAUGUCAUCUCAUUCCCAAAGCCCCACCCCAUGCAACAGUCCCCCUGCAUUUGGCCCGUGACCUUGGAUACACAAACAUUCAGACUCAGCAGUGUAUCUGGAAGCAGUGCCCACUGCUCUCCUCAGCCGAGAGCUUCCAGGACGAUGGUGCCUCUCCAUACAUCAAAGGUGGCCAGGGAUUCAGGCCUUGGCUGCCCCUACUCAGUCUGCCCGGGCAUCUAGAGCAUUCAGACUGCUGCAUAAGGCCCUGGAAGUUUGGGUGACAGUGAUGUGUGGUGUUGAUGGUGCAGAAGGGAGAAGCAGGCUCACAUAUCUGAGGGAAGACGGUUUGAAUCUAUUUCUCUUACUGGUCAACCGACUCUCCAAUCUCUUCCUGUUUCUAAUUUCAAAACACAUCACAAGCAUCAUAAAAGCCCUAUCUGUCUGAAGUGCACCCAGGCUGUCUGUCUCCUCCAGACAAGGAUACUGUAAGCCUAAGAGGAGAGUGAGCUGCCUGGCUGGCUGCCCAGGUCAAGGCGGAAUCCAGCCCCAGAGGGUAGUGAGGAGGGUCCAAUGUGGCUGGGGAGGACUGAUGGUCCCCUCGCCAAGCCAGGCCUGCUGAGCCGUGAGGAGCCAGGCAGCAGGCUGUGUGCCUUCUUGCCUUUCCAGAUGGUUCUGCCGUCACCCAGAUAGCGUCUUAUAA